rnacentral:rRNA from 1 species
AUUGAACGCUGGCGGCAGGCCUAACACAUGCAAGUCGAGCGGAGCGGCGGACGGGUGAGUAAUGCCUAGGAAUCUGCCUGGUAGUGGGGGAUAACGUCCGGAAACGGGCGCUAAUUCCGCAUACUAUCAGUGGAGCAUAGGUCGGAUUGACUAUUUGGUGGGGUAAAGGCCUACCAUGGCGACGAUCCGUAACUGGUCUGAGAGGAUGAUCAGGCACACUGGAACUGAGACACGGUCCAGCCUCCUACGGUGGGCAGCAGUGGGGAAUAUUGGACAAUGGGCGAAGGCCUGAUCCAGCCAUGCCGCGUGUGUAAAGAAGGUCUUCGGAUUGGAAAGCACUUUAAGUUGGGAGGCGUUACCAACAGAAGAAGCACCGGCUAACUUCGUGCCAGCCGCCGCGGUAAUAC